AGAGUUUGAUUAUGGCUCAGGAUGAACGCUAGCGGCAGGCUUAACACAUGCAAGUCGAGGGGCAGCAUAAAGUAGCAAUACUUGGUGGCGACCGGCGCACGGGUGAGUAACGCGUAUGCAACCUACCUAGUCAGACGGGGAAUAACCCGGCGAAAGUCGGACUAAUACCGCAUAAAACAGGGGCACCGCAUGGUGAUAUUUGUUAAAGAAAUUCGCUGAUAGAUGGGCAUGCGUUCCAUUAGGGUAGUUGGUGAGGUAACGGCUCACCAAGCCGACGAUGGAUAGGGGAACUGAGAGGUUGGUCCCCCACACUGGUACUGAGACGCGGACCAGACUCCUACGGGAGGCAGCAGUGAGGAAUAUUGGUCAAUGGGCGGGAGCCUGAACCAGCCAAGUCGCGUGAAGGAAGAAGGAUCUAUGGUUCGUAAACUUCUUUUGCAGGGGAAUAAAGUGCAGGACGUGUCCUGUUUUGUAUGUACCCUGAGAAUAAGGAUCGGCUAACUCCGUGCCAGCAGCGGC
rnacentral:rRNA from 1 species